CAUAGAGGUGUUAUUGGCAAAGGUCUGGACGAGCAAGGCUCCUUGUGUGGUGUAUGGAUGUGUUUGUAAGAGGGUUCAUGUGUGUAUGUGUGCACAUGUCCCAUUUGGACAGAAAAUUCUUUUCAUUUUCUCCUCCUCAUCAAUCAUAACACACACAUAAUGAUGCAGAAGGGCUUUCUGCUUCUGCCUGUGUCCUCAAUGGAAGAACGGAGUACCCAGGCGUGGAUUUCCUCUACAGUCCAUGAGGACAUACUCCUACUUCCUUGACAGACCCAGGCUGAGAUUUUUAAAGUAUCCCAAAUUCUUUUAAAACAACAACAAAAAUCCAUGCAGGCAAUCUGGGGAGAAAAAAAAAAAGUGGACCAAAUAAGAGGAACCACUCAGGAGUCUGCAGAAAGCAGAGAAAUUGGCUAAACAGUGUUAAAGUUGAGAUCAUGGACUAUGCACCAGGGAGACAGGUGCUAAUGUGGCACUGAGUGGUGUGGCAAAGUGGGCUUUGGUGAUGGUUCAGUGACUGGACUAGAUGAUCUUUGAGGUUUUUUCCAACCUCAGUGAUUGCCUGAGUCUAUGAUGUAUUGCAGGCACAACGCUUGGAAGAAAGGAGCUGUGAUGAUCCGUGCAGGGAUUACACUGUGGGGGAAACUGUUUUCACUCCCUGCUAGAAAGAGACAUUUUUCUCUGACAGCUUGUGUCAUACUCUGAACUGCUGUCACUUUGCACCCAAACGCACAUCUAGUGGAAAGCAGUGCUGUCUCACUGGGGAGAGGACAGAAGUUCUAUGAAAAGAAUGGGAACUUCAGAAAGUCUUUAAGUUAUCAGCAUACUGCUUUUGCAAACACAUAAGCAAUUACUUGCUAGUUAGAUGCAUUGGGAAGUUCAUUUCUAACUUUCCAAGCAUCUUCUUCAAAGGAUGAGGGCACAGGAGCAGCAGUGGCUGUGAGAGCAGCUUUGGUUUCAACAGGACACAGGGUGGGCAGGUCCUGACCCUCACAGAACCCAAUCCCCUUUCUCUCUUCUGAGCUGUCUC
ensembl:lncRNA